GGUGCCAGAAGCCCAGGAAGCACACAUCAAGGCUCGCUUGCCAGCGGGGUGCUGCCAAUAAAAUGUAGUCACGUGGAAUUUGGAAUGUGGAAAGGAGGUAGAAGUCAUCCUUUCCUCCCCCAUAGCAGCAGGUGUGCAGGCUCUGGUGGUCAGCUGGACUCCAUACUCCCCCACCAGUCACCAGCCUGGGGACCGUGGGGCUGCAAGGACCUCAGCAGCGGUUUCCCAAGUUUCCUGACUUCUUCCAUCCUCUGGAAAUCAGCUGUGGUUCGUGAGCCACACAUCUCCCCACACCAAGCUCCUCCAUACAAGACCUCGGACUGCAUCAUGUAA
rnacentral:lncRNA from 10 species